rnacentral:rRNA from 1 species
GACGGGGGAUGCAAGUGUUAUCCGGAAUCACUGGGCGUAAAGCGUCUGCAGGUGGUUUCCUAAGUCCACUGUUAAACCUUGAGGCUCAACCUCAAAUCUGCAUUGGAAACUAGGAGACUUGAGUAUAGUAGGGGUAGAGGGAAUUUCCAGUGGAGCGGUGAAAUGCGUAGAUAUUGGAAAGAACACCGAUGACGAAGGCACUCUACUGGGCUAUUACUGACACUCAGAGACGAAAGCUAGGGGAGCAAAUGGG